rnacentral:rRNA from 1 species
UAGGGAAUCUUCGGCAAUGGACGAAAGUCUGACCGAGCAACGCCGCGUGAGUGAAGAAGGUUUUCGGAUCGUAAAACUCUGUUGUUAGAGAAGAACAAGGACGUUAGUAACUGAACGUCCCCUGACGGUAUCUAACCAGAAAGCCACGGCUAACUACGUGCCAGCAGCCGCGGUAAUACGUAGGUGGCCAGCGUUGUCCGGAUUUAUUGGGCGUAAAGCGAGCGCAGGCGGUUUCUUAAGUCUGAUGUGAAAGCCCCCGGCUCAACCGGGGAGGGUCAUUGGAAACUGGGAGACUUGAGUGCAGAAGAGGAGAGUGGAAUUCCAUGUGUAGCGGUGAAAUGCGUAGAUAUAUGGAGGAACACCGGUGGCGAAGGCGGCUCUCUGGUCUGUAACUGACGCUGAGGCUCGAAAGCGUGGGGAGCAAACAGG